GAUGAAGAACGUAGCGAAAUGCGAUAAGUAAUGUGAAUUGCAGAAUUCAGUGAAUCAUCGAAUCUUUGAACGCACCUUGCGCCCUUUGGCCAUUCCGAAGGGCAUGCCUGUUUGAGUAUCAUGAACACCUCAACUCUUCAUGGUUUUCCAUGAUGAGCUUGGACUUUGGGGGUCUUGCUGGCCUGUGGGUCGGCUCCUCUCAAAUGAAUCAGCUUGCCGGUUUUUGGUGGGCAUCACAGGUGUGAUAACUAUCUACACUUGUGGUUUUCCACCAGGGUAACCUUCAGCAGUGGAGGUUCACUGGAGCUUACAAAUGUCUCUCCUCUGUGAGGACAGCCCUUUGAAUGUUUGAUCUCAAAUCAGGUAGGACUACCCGCUGAACUUAAGCAUAUCAAUAAGCGGAGGA
rnacentral:misc_RNA from 1 species